rnacentral:lncRNA from 1 species
AUUUGUCCGAGCGUUGAACCUCUCAUAGAAAACAGACACAACUAUUGUAUCAAGAUUUUUUAAAUACUGUUUGUAAUACUGGUAAUACAGCUGUGAAAGGAAAAUAAUAGAACCAGGCACAAUGUCUGCACAUCUGUAUACGAUCUCUGAGAAGGUUCCCUACAAUCAGGACGACAAGGAGAGUAUAGUGGACAUCUAUGUCAGUGCUGAGAGCCUGAGAGUGUUUGACAACCCGUGGGUGGAAGGAACGUCACCAACUGUACCAGCAUCUGUAGAGUCUCAGUUCCCAGAGACCAUAGUGAUAAACCAGCUGGAGGCAGUUAAUGAUGAACUAAUAAAAACAGCAAAGGAAUUAGAAGCCAAUAACACUAAACUCAGCAACGAAAGAAACAAGUUGUGCGAGGUGUUGUGUGAAAAGAAUAAUAGUAAAAGGAAUUGUAAAAACUCCCCUGAAUAUUCCUGUUAAAGAAAGAAACUGAGAAUGGGCUGAUGGGACAACAAUGACCACAGAACAAUACCGCAAUGUCAAACAUCGUUUACCUCAGCAAUUGUCUGACUGCUGCUUUGUUCAACAUAUAAAAUGUUUAUUCACUAUAAAGUUCCUUCAAACAGCAUUGCUGCCUGAUUGAUUUAUAACUAGCUACUUAAUACAAAAUAUUGUAAGGCUUUAAUAAAUGUAGGCCUCGUCUCUUCAAGUAUCUCUUCAAAUUCUCAAUUUCUAAAUUACAUGUUAUCAGUAUAUUAGGCUCAGUCAUGUUCAUCUUAGACUUGACAGUCUUUCUCCUUAGGAAUAUUGAUCCAUCUUGCUCUUCUAGAGUACAUUAUGCUACACAGUAAUAAUCUCUUUUUCAUAAUCCUGCCUCUCUGACUGACUUCUCUAGAUUAUAGAUUGAUGCACAAUUCCUGGGAACUGUGCUCUUCACCUCACUCAAAGCACCUUAUUACGCUAUACAUAUAAGGUCAAUGUUGAAAACUCACCUUUAGAAAUGGAUAAUGUAAUAAAAAAUCUAAUAAAAGCUGACAAUGUAAAAUUUAGCUAAAAAAUAAUAAUAAAAUGGUGAUAAUAACUUUUUGCACAUAAUAUAAUAAGUUGUUUCAUUAUGGGUUUUGAUUUUUUGUUUUUUUGUUUUUUUGUUUUGGUUUGUUUGUUUGUUUAAUAUGUAUUAAU